UAAUAAAGUGGCCGGUGUUUGUUUCAACGCAAGUAUGACUUUCCCCGUGACUAGCACUGCAUCGAUUGGGACGGGCGUUACAGCAGGAACAACUGCAGUUCCACCACAAACAGACAUGACCGUCAUUGGAGUGGUCAUCGCCCUGAUCCUGCUGACCCUUGUCGUCGUUGGGGUUCUGCUGUACAGAUACCUGUGUCACAGUAAGGGGGUUUACCGAACCGCAGGUGAACCCGCUCCAGGAGUGGACCCAGACCAGGUCUACAAUGACACCGUCACCGAAAACAAGAAGGAAUAUUUCAUCUGAACCAUUCAGCAUCAGGAUGGAUUUAACCAAUGAUCAAAACGCAUGGACGGCUGCAGACAUCUGAAUAUGUCCAUGUAGAGAGGUUUAUAUGCAAGGCGUUUGGGGUGUAAACCACUAGUCUGUGCUUUAUGGAUGAAUGUUUUGUUGAAGGGAUACCAUUUGAGUUUUAUGUUAGAAGGAUGAGGCAGAUGUAAAAGCAGGCUUUAUUCAUGACGUCAAUAAGCUCAGCAUCAGUUUUGGUAUGGUAAAGUUACUGGGACAAUCUUUUUUUUUUUUUUUCGUCAGUCUGUUUAAAUAGUCCACUACAAGCAUUAUAAGUACUACUUCAGCAGAAAUAGUAAGGUCACAUACAUUGGAGUUAUUAUCAAUUACGAGUUCAGCUAGCUGCACCUCAAUGAAAUGCUAAACAUUGCAGGCACUGUACAUUUAAUUAGUUUUUAUGCAGUCAUGUGGCAUUUCUUUAUGCAUUUUUUCCCUUUUAUCAUUUAGAAUGGAUUUUUUAAAAGAUAAUAUAUAAAUCGCAAGAUUUUUUUAGAUUGUGAAAAGUUGGAGAAUACAGUCACAGUGCCUUGUUAACUUUUUAAAUUCACUUUUUUAUUAAUAUUUUUAUUAUUAUUUUGUAACAUGGUGCCAAAUAUAAUAAUUACCUCUCAUUUUUUGUUAAACCAACAAACAAACAGGCUGAUCAUACUGUCAAAUGCAUAUAUGAUGUGUUUUGUGCAGGGUUACAAUAUUAUGUUCCUUGUUAUGAAAAUGAAUGUAAUUUAUAUCGGAUUCUGAGUCCAAUUAUUAUUCUUUUUUACUGCGGUUAAACAAUUCACUUCCAUUUGGACACAAGACAAAAAUGCAAAACAUGAACUCAACACAAAUGUUCAAAAUUCAAAAUAGCUUUUAUUCUAAAUUUUGUUUUAUACUUAAGGUUUAGUAUAAAAAAAGUUAAGUGCACCA